rnacentral:rRNA from 1 species
AUUGAACGCUGGCGGCAGGCCUAACACAUGCAAGUCGAGCUGCGCGGCGGAAGGGUGAUUAAUGCCUAGGAAUCUGCCUGGUAGUGGGCUAUCACUCCCGGAACCGGGAGCUUAUACCGCAUACUCUCACAUGAGCCUAGGGCGGAUUAGCUAGUUGGUGGGGUAAAGGCCUACCAAGGUGACGAUCCGUAACUGGUCUGAGAGGAUGAUCAGUCAAACUGGAACUGAGACACGGUCCAGACUCCUACGGGAGGCAGCAGUGGGGAAUAUUCGACAAGGGGCGAAAGCCUGAGCCAGCCAUGCCGCGUGUGUGAAGAAGGUCUUCGGAUUGUAAAGCACUUGAGGUUGGGAGGCGUUACCAACAGAAUAAGCACCGGCUAACUUCGUGCCAGCAGCCGCGGUAAUAC